rnacentral:rRNA from 1 species
GGCCCUUAUAGGUGGGGCUACACACGUCAUACAAUGGCCGGUACAGAGGGUAGCCAACCCGCGAGGGGGAGCCAAUCCCACCAAAAGCCGGUCGUAGUCCGGAUCGCAGUCUGCAACUCGACUGCGUGAAGUCGGAAUCGCUAGUAAUCGCGGAUCAGCAUGUCGCGGUGAAUACGUUCCCGGGUCUU